UCCUUCUUAGCUCAGUUGGUAGAGCGCGUCACUAGUAAUGUUGUUCAUGACGAGGUCAGUCGUUCAAGUCGGCUAGAAGGAA